UACGUAGGGGGCUAGCGUUGUCCGGAAUCAUUGGGCGUAAAGGGCGCGUAGGUGGCCCGGUCAGUCCGUGGUGAAAGCGCGGGGCUCAACCCUGCGUCGGCCAUGGAUACUGCCGCGGCUCGAGCACUGUAGAGGCAGGCGGAAUUCCGGGUGUAGCGGUGGAAUGCGUAGAGAUCCGGAAGAACACCGGUGGCGAAGGCGGCCUGCUGGGCAGUUGCUGACACUGAGGCGCGACAGCGUGGGGAGCAAACAGG
rnacentral:rRNA from 1 species